rnacentral:rRNA from 1 species
GAUGAACGCUGGCGGCGUGCCUAAUACAUGCAAGUCGAGCGAAUGGAUUAAGAGCUUGCUCUUAUGAAGUUAGCGGCGGACGGGUGAGUAACACGUGGGUAACCUGCCCAUAAGACUGGGAUAACUCCGGGAAACCGGGGCUAAUACCGGAUAACAUUUUGAACCGCCUGGUUCGAAAUUGAAUGGCGGCUUCGGCUGUCACUUAUGGAUGGACCCGCGUCGGAUUGGCUAGUUGGUGAGGUAACGGCUCACCAAGGCAACGAUGCGUAGCCGACCUGAGAGGGUGAUCGGCCACACUGGGACUGAGACACGGCCCAGACUCCUACGGGAGGCAGCAGUAGGGAAUCUUCCGCAAUGGACGAAAGUCUGACGGAGCAACGCCGCGUGAGUGAUGAAGGCUUUCGGGUCGUAAAACUCUGUUGUUAGGGAAGAACAAGUGCUAGUUGAAUAAGCUGGCACCUUGACGGUACCUAACCAGAAAGCCACGGCCAACUACGUGCCAGCCGCCGCGGUAA